rnacentral:tRNA from 1 species
GGGGAUUUAGCUCAGCAGUAGAGCACUUGCCUAGCAAGCGCAAGGCCCUGGGUUCAGUCCCCAGCUCCCCCC